GCCUUCGUGGUGUAGUGGUCAGCACGCUGGGCGCGUAUUCUAGAGGUCCGUGGUUCGAGUCCCGCCAAGGCG
rnacentral:tRNA from 1 species